rnacentral:rRNA from 1 species
AUACGGAGGGUGCAAGCGUUACUGGGAAUUACUGGGCGUAAAGGACGCGUAGGCGGUUUUUAAAGUCAGAUGUGAAAGCCUAUGGCUUAACCAUAGAACUGCAUUUGAAACUUCUAAACUAGAGUGAGGGAGAGGUCAGUGGAAUUAGUGGUGUAGGGGUAAAAUCCGUAGAGAUCACUAGGAAUACUCAUAGCGAAGGCGACUGACUGGAACUUUACUGACGCUGAGGCGUGAAAGCGUGGGGAGCAAACAGGAUUAGAAACCCGAGUAGUCC